GUAAUGUAUCGGAACGUGCCCAGUAGCGGGGGAUAACUACGCGAAAGCGUGGCUAAUACCGCAUACGCCCUUAGGGGGAAAGGUGGGGAUUCUUCGGAACCUGCCACUAUUGGAGCGGCCGAUAUCGGAUUAGCUAGUUGGUGGGGUAAAGGCCUACCAAGGCGACGAUCCGUAGCUGGUUUGAGAGGACGACCAGCCACACUGGGACUGAGACACGGCCCAGACUCCUACGGGAGGCAGCAGUGGGGAAUUUUGGACAAUGGGGGAAACCCUGAUCCAGCCAUUUCGCGUGUGCGAUGAAGGCCUUCGGGUUGUAAAGCACUUCUGGCGGGGAAGAAAAGCGCCGGGCUAAUACCCUGGCGUGCUGACGGUACCCGCAGAAUAAGCACCGGCUAACUACGUGCCAGCAGCCGCGGUAAUACGUAGGGUGCAAGCGUUAAUCGGAAUUACUGGGCGUAAAGGGUGCGUAGGCGGUUGCGCAAGACAGAUGUGAAAUCCCCGGGCUUAACCUGGGAAUUGCAUUUGUGACUGCGUGGCUAGAGUAUGUCAGAGGGGGGUAGAAUUCCACGUGUAGCAGUGAAAUGCGUAGAUAUGUGGAGGAAUACCGAUGGCGAAGGCAGCCCCCUGGGAUAAUACUGACGCUGAUGCACGAAAGCGUGGGGAGCAAACAGGA
rnacentral:rRNA from 1 species